CUGUCAGGUCGUCACCGUCUUGGAUUUUAGACAGGUGUCUUGGACAGGCUUGCAUGCCAUCGUUGCGAGCCCUUUUCCACGAGGGGAAAACGAAGAGAAGUCUCCUCCGUGUCCCCGAUGGAAUUAGACUGUGACGGUACGGGGCACCGGGGGCACCCAACGGACGGCCAACUUCACAGCGGAACAGGAGAGUGUCACGGAAUCAUAGAAUGCCGUUUGCCAGUGUUUCACAAAAUGCUUUUCUUCGCCGAAAGCACGCUGUCUUCAGAAUCACCUAAAGAGGCUAUCUAUGGAUCGUUUCGCAGUCUGAAUUGUGAUUCAUCAGCGUGAUCUAACGGGAAACUUGGCUCCGGGGUUAUGGCUUCUAGCUCUGGGAAGAUAAGCCAGCCACCGGGCGCAUGUAACGGGACUGCUGCGGACUUCUCGAAUAUGGAAAAAGAGCUGUACGAUUAUCAAAUGCACACAAAAAUGUGCAAGAAAAUAGCGCAGCUUACCAAGGUGAUAUACUCUCUCAACACUAAGAAUGAGGAACAAGAAGCGACCUUGCACAUACUACGGCGUGCUACCAUGGAGACCCAGGGUACCCUCCAGUCAACCACUAGUCAGGAUGAGGAGGAGUCUGCAUCAGCCCUCAGAACCCGCCUCUUAGAGCUCCAGGCCACAGUGGAAGAGGUGGAGGAGCGUGGGCAGAGGGCUGAGGUGGAGUACGUGGAGCAUGUAGCCAUGCUGACCCAGGAGGCGGUGGACCUGCGGCGGGACUGCCAAAGCCUGAAGGUAGAGAGGGACAGCCAGCGCCGACUGCUUCAGCAGGUCCAGGAGGACAACAUCCGCCUGGAGGAGCAGUGCCAGCAGCUGAGUCAGGAGAGGGAUAAGGACCAGAAAAGAGAGGAAGACGAGAGGAAGAGGAGGGAGGAGGAGGAGGAGAAGAGGGAGAGAGAGGGUGAGGAGCUUAGGAGGGAGGUCGAGGAGAGGAAGCGGCUGGAGGAGGAGUGCGAGAAGCGGCUGCGCGCGCUGAGGGCAGAGCUCAAGACCCUGCAGGAGGACAGAGAAAGGGCAGAGGAGGAGUGGAGGAGCGAGAAGGAGGAGUGGAGGAGCAGGAUGCAGGUCUUGGAAGAGGAGAGACGAGAGGAGCAGGAAGCAGCGAGGAAAACGCUGCAGCAAAUUCUGAAUGAGCACAUGAGCCAGUGGCAGCAGAAAGAGGAGGAGAACCGCAAAUCCCACAAUGCAAUGCUGCAGCAGAGGCUGAAGAAGGUGGAGGCGGAGCUGGAAACACGAGAACAGGGGCUGAAUGACUGCACCAGACACAUCAGCAAAUUGCAAGAGAGAAUAGAGGACCUGGAGGAACAACUAGAAAACGGCCGCUACCGAGUUGCAGAGGCGGAACGGACAGCGAAGAAAGCAGAGGAGGAGCUGACCGUGGCGAAGGAGCGCUUGCUGCUGCAAGAGAACGAACUGCAAAGCAAGUCGGAGGAGCUGCUAAGCCAGAGCUCCUCUCAGGUGAAGGUCUCAGCUGAGGUGGAGGAGCUGAGGUCACAGCUGAGCCGCCUCAACAUCCGCAACAAGGAGCUGGAACUCCAGAACAGUGGCCGUUCAAAUGACCAUGCACGCAUGCUCAAACAGCACGCAGACACCCUGUCCUCCAUGCGUUUAGAGCUGCAGCGUGCUCAUACAGAGGAGAUCCGGCGCCUCUAUCAGGAGGUGGAGAAGGAGCGGGGGUUGGACAGGCAGGAGCUGGAGGAGGAGAAGGGACGUCUGAAGGAACAACUGCGGAAGGCCCUGGAGGAGGUGAUCCGCAAGCAUGCCAGCGAGCUGCGGCAGGUGCACACUGCGCUGGACUCCGAAAGGAGGACGAAGGAACAGGCUGAGGAACAGAGGAGGGCUGCUGAAGAGGACAGGCAGCACCUGGUGACAGAGGGGGAGGAGCUCCGCAUGCAAAUGCAGCUGUCCAUCACAGAGAUAAGCAAACUGCAGGAAGUGAUCCAGUCACUGGAGAAGGAGAAGGAGGAAGCACAGAGGAGAGAGGAACAGAGAGAGCGUGAGCGGGAAAGGGAGCAGGAACAGGAGAAGGAAAAGGCUGGGCCUGUGUGUGGGCCUGAAUGCGAGAGACUUAGGGGAGAGCUGGAACACACACACCAUAGCCUAGAGCAAAUACAGAGGGACUUUGCUCUGCAGAAGGAAAGCCUGCAAGCAGAGAUCUCCAGUCUGAAGAAAGAGAGAGAGAUACUACAGCAGGCCAACCACAGCAUGGAGGAGAGGAUCAGGUUGCAGUUUGAGAAGAAUUUCUCUGAUCAUGUGGCGGAUGUACAGAAAGAAAGAGAAAAGGAGAUCAAAGACCUUAAUCAUCACUGGCAGCACAGGCUGGAAGAGCUACAGACACAGCUGGAGGAGAACAGAACUCUCUCCGAGAGGGGGACCGGAGAAAGAGGGAGGGACAGCAGCCCCGGGAACGGAGAGAUGGAACGAAUGAAGCUUGAGAUCCAGAAAACAAGAGACAUGAACAGAUCACUCCGAGUACAGCUCCACUGUACCGUCCAAGAGAAGGAGCGGUUGAUGAAGAAACAGCAGUUACAGGUCGUACAGGAGGAGGACGAGGACGAAGAGACGGUGAGGGCAGACACAGGGAGGGAGGGGUGCGACUGGCCACAGCGAGAGGAGGAACUAUUACGGGCAGAGAACCUGAACCACCAGCGUGUCCUGCAGGCCCUGGAGACACGCGCAAGCGAGGAGCUGCAGGUGGAGAGACAGCGCCUCCACACGCAGCAUAAACUACAGCUCGAGAAGCAAAAAGCAGAGCUCACCCAGCAGCACACAGAGUGGGUAAAGCAGGUCACACAGAGGCACAUGCAGCAGAUCGAAGACCUGCAGAACGAACUGCGAACCCACACACAAAUGGUGGCCCUGCAACAGGAUCUGAAGCAGCAGAACCGGCUGCAAUCACUGGAGAGACAGCUGGAUGAGAGGAGCAGCGAAGUGCAGGAGCUGAAGAGAGCGAACGAGGAGCUGAAAGAACAAGUGAACGCGCUCAGAGCCGAGAGACUGGCCAGCACUGACAACAAACACCCAGGCAGAAGUUCCUGGAAGGAGAGAGAGGAUGAGGGCAAGACAGACACCACAACAAGAAACCACCAAACGGAGGUCCAGACCAUAACGUCAGACUUUGCCUCUGCCGAGAUACGACUUCAGGCCCGCAUUGUCGCCUUGGAAACUGAGUACCUACAACACCCACAUCAUCAAUAAUGCACAACACACAAACACAACGCUCAAACCUGAGCAUCACCAAACUAGAUGGCCAAAACUACACACAAAUUUGUGAGCUUCAUUUGCUGCUGUUACAUUUACCAAUCAUUUAAUACACUUAAAUAGCCUGCUGAGAUGGCAUUUCUAGGCAGUGUGGUCCUGUGGUUAAAAACCAGCUGCUAGAGCACGGCUUAUGUAAAUUGCACUUGAGCUAUAAACGUACUGCACACCUGCAACGAGUGUGUAAUUAAAUGUAAAUAAAGGCUAAGCACCAGCUAAUAUGAACGUGUCAAUCACAGAAACAUAGCGAAAGCUGAGUUUCUAACUUAUUAUUGAUAGUUAGAAAACCCUUUUAAUUUUUUUAAAUUUUAUUUUACAAACUUAAUCAAUACUGCUUGUUUAGCCCCACGCGCUGUCUUCGGAAUCUGUCGUAAACGUCAUACGUAUGACGUAGAUGGACAACAACUCAAGAAGCUGAACUGUAGCUAGAUGAUGCAAAAUGACAAAAAGGCGUGUUGUCUUUGGCUGCAAUAAUUCAAUGUACAGUGGGACACCCAUGCACAAAUAGCUAAAAUUCCUAAAAUAUUUGUCAACUUUAAAAGGACACAUUGGAAAGGACCAUACGCCAACUCCAUUACCAGUAGUGCUCGUUUCAUGCCUGAAGAUUACCACAACUAUGGGAUGUGGAAAGCCGGGCUCACACCACGACUUGAUCUUAAGUGCUACAUUUCUAACAAGAUGGGCAUGCAAAGAAACUAAAGAGAGGCAAACGGAGAAAGUGAAAUUACUUCACCCAUUUUAGUUGAUGUCAGCUAGCCUUGCUAGCUACUAGGGUAGUAGCUAACCGAUUGACUUGCUGUUUGUUGCCUCAAGCCAUACUAGGCCAAAACUCCACGCAGUUGCAUUAGGUUACACAGAUUUAUGGACUUUCUUAUAUAUGCGUGAAUCGCUAUUACAACAAUAUGCACAUCAAUCUUUAGCUAGAAAGCUUCUGUUAUUAAUAGCUCAGUGCGAAGCUUCUGUUUGUUGUUUAAGCUACGUUUCCCACAAUGAUCCAGCAUCUUCCCAAACACGAGUGGUUAACAUUUGGCAAUUUAUUUACGUGUCGUCGUCCCCCCACAGUUAGCACUAGAAAUUCACUUAAUUCAGCCACGCAGAAGAGGUGUUGAUAGUGUAUAGCUACAAGGCUAGACACAUAACUUAUACACAUAUGAUUAACCUACCAAAAAAAGCUAUAUUAGACCACUAAAGCAAAUGCAUUAGCUAUCUUAGCUAAGACAUUGGUUAUUAGCAAAAGGGAGCACUACUAACUAGUUGGCAAGCUAGAUGACAAGCUAUUAAAAUGAGAAAUAUAACCAGUAGGUAGUUAAUCAUACGCCCCUGCUAUAAAAAAGGUGUUAAUAGACAAGACAAGAUUACUUUCAGUAAUACGUUUUACUUUUAGGAUCAGUUUUCAGUAUAAUGGCCAACAUAAAAGGGUUUUACCAGUCAGAAUUCCCUAUUCUGACUAGGCCCGGUUGUUCGUUGCUCUCUUGUGCAGCUGAAUUUAACCGUUAUGAUAUAGUCACCCGCACUGUCACUGCAGAUUCAGAAUCUAAUCAAUUUUUUUAAAAAUGUAUUCGGAAACCGAAGACCCAGCACUAGAAAAUGCGUAGUCCAAAUCAGUCGUAAUGGUGUAUAAUCGCUGCGUUUUUCACUGUUGUCCACGAGUAACUUUCUGGAAUUUCUGGAGGGACAUCAGGUCCGUUAGGUGGGGCAUAGCCUUCAAGUAUCUGGCUGAGAGAAAGAGAGGAGAAGGGGAGGAGGAGAGUAGAGGAUCUCCACACCAUUUCUAAACUGCAAGACAAGCUGACUGAGAGAGACCAGCA